rfam:Ipomoea nil DNA, scaffold: scaffold1292, cultivar: Tokyo-kokei standard.
AUCCAGGCAUCACGGAUAUCUCGCUCUCGCAUCGAUGAAGAAACGUAAGCGAAAUGCGAUACUUGUGCUGAAUUGGCUAGAAUCCGUGAACCAUCGAGUCUUUGAUCUGCAAGUUGACGCGCGAUAGCGUUAGGGCCGAGCACUCGCCUGUGCGUCA